UACGGAGGGGGCUAGCGUUGUUCGGAAUUACUGGGCGUAAGGCGCACGUAGGCGGCUUUGUAAGUUAGAGGUGAAAGCCCGGGGCUCAACCCCGGAAAUUGCCUUUAAGACUGCAUCGCUUGAAUUGUGGAGAGGUAAGUGGAAUUCCGAGUGUAGAGGUGAAAUUCGUAGAUAUUCGGAAGAACACCAGUGGCGAAGGCGACUUACUGGACACAUAUUGACGCUGAGGUGCGAAAGCGUGGGGAGCAAACAGG
rnacentral:rRNA from 1 species